GAUAAUAAAUCAUCAUUGUAUUUAAUUAUAAAGUUAAGCAUUUGCAAAAACUUUUUUUAGUCGAAGCAGUAGCCAGAGAAGCAAGAGCAACAAGGAAAAAUCCGCUUCAGGCAUUCUAGAUGCAUGGCUUCCAAUCUUAUCUUAUACAUGUCAGAGAUUUUGACGAUCACUAACGCAUACAAAACAAAUCUCAUAAUUAGUUUUUGCAUGCAAAAGUAAAGAGGAAACAAACAAAACAAAGUGCGGCAAGGGCAUGUUUAAUUUUCAUUAUUAAGAUUUUUUGAAUAAUGAAAACCAUUCAUUGAAUAAUUGAUUUUUCCUAUUUUCCGUUAUACCAAUUAAAUCCAUUAUAAAGAUUAGAGAUUAACAAAAGAAAAAUAAGUGGACCUAGCCUAUUAAAUUAUCACUAUAUCUCAUAUUCAAAAAUUAAAAUUCGAUUGAUAUGAAAUUGGAGCAGUUGUCUUUUUUUAAUUUUAUUGUUUUUUCUAUUUUAGACUUCACAAGAAUUUAUUGAUAUUUUCGAUUAAAUCUUCAUGUUACUAGAUUUUCUAUAUGAAUAAAUCACUGUUCUUCAAGUCACACAGUAAAAGUUAUUUAUUUAUCUUUAUUUGAUUCUAUAUGAAAGAUUAAUUCCAUCAUUAUAAUUUCUAUCUGGAUUGUGUAUCGAUAUAAUAUUAAGUAAUUUUGUAUUAGUUUCUUACAAAUUGUGCGAGUAAUUAGUCAAUCCAUGUAAAAACAUAAUUUGGUGUCUCAAGAUUUAUAGAGUAAAACAAUUUGCUUUGUUAUUUAUUGUGGGCAUAGAUGUUGAUAGUAUACCUACUUGUACUGCAACGACACUGGCCAUAGCUGUCCAUGCUGUAAUUAAUACAUUCAGUAGAGUGCUACCGGCUACGUGGGUGGUGAGUGAACCAGUCGAACUAAAAAUUACAAUUAGGAAAUACAAUAUUAAUUUAAUUGGAAAAUGAUAUUUACCUUUAAACAAUUAAUAAGCCCCAAUUUGUUUUGAAAACAUUCUUAGGAGGGUUUUGACGAAUUUAUUACUCCACUAAGAAGGUUCAUUAUUGUAUAUAGAUUCUAGUUGAUUAUUUGAUUUGAGCUUGAAUAGUUUGAUGUUUUAAUUUUUUCAUUAAACUUAUCAAACUUUUGAAAUUAUAAAAUCAAAAUUUAAUAUUUAUAAGAAUAGUAGUAAAUUUUAUUAUCCCGUGGACUAAUCCCUAGAAUUUUUAUUUAAAUAUGAAAUUACUUUUCAAUUUUUUUGAACUUAAUUUCAAUAAUUUCAAUGUUCUUACUUGGAAGCUAAUCACCUUUUCUAGACGGUUGGAAUAUUAAAUAUUAAAAUUAACGAAUAGCAAAGCAACACGAAAAAAAAAAAACACAAAGAUAUUCCUCGUAAAUGUGCUAAUCUCCUUUUUAGUAGUUUAAUCUACAUCUAACGCCCUAAUGAAGCAUUGAAGCGUAAUCAUCUCAUUAAUUGACUAGCAUUAAAAACUGAAAAUGAAGAUAUCGUCAACGAAACUUUUUUUUUUUCUUUCUAACUGUGAUGUACUAGCUUUGAUUUACCUUGUUUGAACAAUGAUUGUUCGCUACGUUGUGAGUGCUAUCUUGAUCAUUGGACUGUCAGUUGUCGCCGCCGUUGACGGCAGGGAUGUGCUGAAAUUACCAUCGGAAGCAUCAACGUUUUUCAGUGGUAAUUAUGAUGAUGAU
rnacentral:lncRNA from 1 species